AUGGGCGCAAGCCUGAUGCAGCGACGCCGCGUGAGGGAUGACGGCCUUCGGGUUGUAAACCUCUUUCAGUAGGGAAGAAGCGAAAGUGACGGUACCUGCAGAAGAAGCGCCGGCUAACUACGUGCCAGCAGCCGCGGUAAUACGUAGGGCGCAAGCGUUAUCCGGAAUUAUUGGGCGUAAAGAGCUCGUAGGCGGUUUGUCGCGUCUGCCGUGAAAGUCCGGGGCUCAACUCCGGAUCUGCGGUGGGUACGGGCAGACUAGAGUGAUGUAGGGGAGACUGGAAUUCCUGGUGUAGCGGUGAAAUGCGCAGAUAUCAGGAGGAACACCGAUGGCGAAGGCAGGUCUCUGGGCAUUAACUGACGCUGAGGAGCGAAAGCAUGGGGAGCGAACAGGAUUAGAUACCCUGGUAGUCCAUGCCGUAAACGUUGGGCACUAGGUGUGGGGGACAUUCCACGUUUUCCGCGCCGUAGCUAACGCAUUAAGUGCCCCGCCUGGG
rnacentral:rRNA from 1 species